UGGGGAAUAUUGCACAAUGGGCGCAAGCCUGAUGCAGCCAUGCCGCGUGUAUGAAGAAGGCCUUCGGGUUGUAAAGUACUUUCAGCGGGGAGGAAGGGAGUAAAGUUAAUACCUUUGCUCAUUGACGUUACCCGCAGAAGAAGCACCGGCUAACUCCGUGCCAGCAGCCGCGGUAAUACGGAGGGUGCAAGCGUUAAUCGGAAUUACUGGGCGUAAAGCGCUCGCAGGCGGUUUGUUAAGUCAGAUGUGAAAUCCCCGGGCUCAACCUGGGAGCUGCAUCUGAUACUGGCAAGCUUGAGUCUCGUAGAGGGGGGUAGAAUUCCAGGUGUAGCGGUGAAAUGCGUAGAGAUCUGGAGGAAUACCGGUGGCGAAGGCGGCCCCCUGGACGAAGACUGACGCUCAGGUGCGAAAGCGUGGGGAGCAAACAGG
rnacentral:rRNA from 1 species